rnacentral:rRNA from 1 species
UACGUAGGGGGCUAGCGUUGUCCGGAAUCAUUGGGCGUAAAGAGCGUGUAGGCGGCCCGGUAAGUCCGCUGUGAAAGUCGGGGGCUCAACCCUCGAAUGCCGGUGGAUACUGUCGGGCUAGAGUGCGGAAGAGGCGAGUGGAAUUCCUGGUGUAGCGGUGAAAUGCGCAGAUAUCAGGAGGAACACCGAGUGCGAAGGCAGCUCGCUGGGACGGAACUGACGCUGAGGCGCGAAAGCGUGGGGAGCGAACAGG